rnacentral:lncRNA from 1 species
AUUCCCAGGAUUAAAUCAAAACAAACGCAUUUCCAAAAAAGUUAAAAAUUUUGAAAAAAGGGACUAUCCAAUUUUUGGGCAAAAUGAAAUUCGUCCAUAAACCAUUCUGCCAUGGUCUACGGGAUGCUAAUAAAUUACACUUAGGACACUUAAUACUUUCAUUAAAAAAUCACUUGGUAUCUUUAUUUUCAAAUUGUAUCAGUUAAUUGCUGGCUAACACUUUAGGAGAAGUGUUAAUAAGACAUUUCAAUUCAUGUGUUGUAUAGUGCAAGUGUAAAAAAGUCAUGUGACUCUUAAUGAAUGAAAAAUUGACAUAAUAUAACAUAGGUGACGGACACAAUUAAACGAUGUAAUAGUGCAAAACACUGCGCUCAUUGUUAGCACGGAAAACUUUUUUUCGGAAAAUGCUUUCUAGAGAAAACUUUUCUUAGAAAUGAAUUUGUUGUUCGCGUUUGGCUUGACAUGGAUCCAUUUUUUUGGAAAUCAAUUGUAUUAGUAUUUAUUUGGUAUGAAAAAAAUCACAAACAAGUAAAAAUACAAAUAUACAAUCGUCAAUAAUAAACCACAAUAAAUGGUAAAUCCGACAUUACUCAAAUUCGGAAUCCGAUCCAAAUUAUAGGAUAUCGAUCCAAAACUCCAAUAGAUUCAAAUUUUUUUCUUAAUAACAAAUCAACUCAUAAAGGAAAAAAUGCAUCCAAGUCCACAAUAUUUUUUGUUUUCAGAAGUAAAAAAAAAAAUAGUUUUUAAAAAAUGAAAAGUUUUGAAAAACCCCAAAAAAUAUUUUUUUUAAAAAAUGCAACAGUUUUUGAAAAAAAAUAAAAACAUUUUUUGAAAAAAUAAAAUUUUUUAUUUUUUUGCAGUGCUCUAACAAUAGCUGGCGGGCCGAUAUAUUUCUAGUGCAACAUCCACGAAAUCAUUCACUGUUACACCUUUCAUCGUCAAAUGUAGUAGAGACCGAAGCUCUGUUCAGAAAUCAGAAGCGGUUGGUGGAGAAAACCUUUCUUUAGCAAAUCACAGGCAGUUAGCCGGUAUACUUGGCACUAGCGGGAUCAUUCGAUGUACGGAUUCUAUGCUUUUGGAUUAAAGAAAACUGGAAAAUAGAAUUGGUCUUCCUUCUGAACCUUGAACGUCUUCAUCUCAGUUUUUCUGAGUUAUAGGGACCAUCAAGCAAAAUCGGCGCUCUGUCAAAGCUCUCCCACCUUGACCUCCAAGGAACCUAUAAGACAGGUAUAUACCUUUCGAAAACUCACCCAAUAAAUUACCUGGACAUAUCUGAUAAUCAUCUCACGGGUCCAAUCCCUUUUCUAUUAGUCAUUUGUCGAACUAAAAUUUCUGAGUCUGUUCAAAUCGGAUUAAUGGCAUAAGACCUCAUAAAACUUCACGCAUUUUAUCCAGCCUUAGUUCAAAUCGGCCAGACUAAUAUAUCCAGAUUCGUCGAACCAAACCCUAAUUGCGGGCACCCCUAUAGUUAUAUUUGCACCAGAUAGCGAUCUUACUUUUUUUCUAUUAAGUGAAGCCACAAGUUUUUUUAAUUUUUUUGACACAGAUUUUUCUAUUGUGCGAACUUGCUAUACCAUGAUGUGACUGGAAAGGUGCUAUGUUAUAGCUCAAUGGCGGCACUAGAAACUAUCAUGGAAGCAUCCGAGAGGAAUUCCUCUCAUCAAUGGCGUCACCUUUUGCUAAAAACAUGAUAAGCCGAUGUCAGAUCCACGACUUAUACCUCCAAACGAAUCAGUAGUUGCGGGGAACAUUGUUCUUGUGCUACUCUAGGGCGUUUGCCUGCUUGCAUUCUGAGCGAGAUUGGUUCCAACACGCAACAACAUCUCUCAAAUGUUUUCUUUCCCCCAAGAAAGCUCUAGCUGAACUUUUCACACAAUUUCUCUACAGGAGCUGAUGCAAUCAAGAAAUGGUUUUAGUUUCUGUAAUCGCACAGGCACAAUGCGACUGAUAACUGACUGCAGCAGCUUGCACCACCGCAAGACCACUACAGGUAUUAUCCUCGAUUUUCUUUAUCGCAUUCUCAUAAACUUGUUAGGACAAUCUUUAUGCAAUAUGAUAAAUAGCAAACUGAAAUUUAAAUUAAUAAUAAUCAAAAAAUUAAAGAAAUGAACACACUUACAGGAACUCUUGUUCGAAAGAACAACAAUUUCAAAUUUAUGACUGAUGCCUGUAUUCAAUCCUUAAGACAGAUUAGCCUCCGCAUGGGUUGCUAAAGAAUGUAGUAGGACUAUAUCUCCCAGGAUACAAUAGUCGAAAUCUUACGAUACCAACACAACAAUCAGUAAGCCUAGUGAACUAAACAUAGUGAGUACUCUCUUUACGGCAUGCCCAAAAAAUGAAGAAAGGAAGAACGGAGGAUAUAUGACAUUGCUUGAUUUCGAUAAACAGAAGGCUGAGGAGGGAUGUGUAUAUGGGAAAAAAAUUCUGGACUUUUCGGAAAGGAUGCAACUUUUAGAAGAAGGCAACUUUUCAGAAGAAGGACAACUUUUCGGGGAUUGUU